rnacentral:rRNA from 1 species
GUGAACGCUGGCGGUAGGCCUAACCCAUGCAAGUCGAACGGCAGCACCGUAAGAGCUUGCUCUUACGGGUGGCGAGUGGCGGACGGGUGAGGAAUACAUCGGAAUCUACUUUUUCGUGGGGGAUAACGUAGGGAAACUUACGCUAAUACCGCAUACGACCUACGGGUGAAAGCAGGGGAUCUUCGGACCUUGCGCGAUUGAAUGAGCCGAUGUCGGAUUAGCUAGUUGGCGGGGUAAAGGCCCACCAAGGCGACGAUCCGUAGCUGGUCUGAGAGGAUGAUCAGCCACACUGGAACUGAGACACGGUCCAGACUCCUACGGGAGGCAGGAGUGGGGAAUAUUGGACAAUGGGCGCAAGCCUGAUCCAGCCAUACCGCGUGGGUGAAGAAGGCCUUCGGGUUGUAAAGCCCUUUUGUUGGGAAAGAAAAGCAGCAGGUUAAUACCCCGCUGUUCUGACGGUACCCAAAGAAUAAGCACCGGCUAACUUCGUG